UUUCCGUAGGUGAACCUGCGGAAGGAUCAUUAUUGUAUAACCGAGGUGCGAGGGCUGUCGCUGACCCGAAAGGUCGUGCACGCCCGAGUGCCCUCACACACAUCCAUCUCACCCCUAUGUGCACCACCGCGUGGGUCCCCCUUUGGCUUGUUCGGAGGGGGGCUUACGUUUUCACACAAACUUUGUAUGCAGUGUAGAAUGUAUUUUUGUUUUUGCGAUCACGCAAUCAAUACAACUUUCAACAACGGAUCUCUUGGCUCUCGCAUCGAUGAGAACGCAGC
rnacentral:misc_RNA from 1 species